UUUUGGCAUAAAGAGCGUCUACGUCACACAUUUAUAUGUGUGUGUGAGGCUAUGGAGUCUUACAUUAGGUAUAUUAAAUUAAUCUAUGUUAGCCCAAAACCUAUAUCGCAUGCUGAGCUAGAUAGAUAGAUAAAAAAUAAUCAUGUUUAUUUCUAAAACUCACGUUAAAUAUGAAGCUACAAAAGAAAUCUUGUUUACUAACCACCGCCAGAUCAAACUGUCAAGAAGCUGAAGUGAAGCGUAGGCUCGACUUUUUUACGUAAUACAGGACAGGAAAAUGUUUACGCUUAAAGGAAUACAGAAUACACAUACUGUUGUGACUGGAUUUUAUAGCCGAGACAGGACGCUAAAAGAAAGACGUCUGCUGUGGGAAUGAAAGAUAAAGUCAAGACUCCGAAAAGCGCAGUACAGAAGAGGCAACCCAGGGUUCACAUCAUUCAAGGCACGAUAUUCUGAGAAAAAUCUCGUCGCUAUCAUAGAAACGAGUGGUGGUGAAGGGUGUGAAGCUAAGGAUGCGAUAUAAAACACGGGAAUAUGGAAAACUUUGUGGUGAUAGCAAAGACAGGAUCUAAGAAUAUGUGGAUUUAGUAUGUGUAUUAUAGGGAUGUGAAAUUAUGACGUGAGAAUUUCUUUUACAGUAUUACAGAGCUCAAUUUCCAAAGAUUUUUCCUCCAAUUUUCUAUACUUUGUAUAAUACACAGAUUUUUUUCUAAAUAAAAGUCUCA